UAGACUAAAGUCCAAGUCUUUAGUAUUUAUAAUUUAUGUACUAAUAGAGGUCUGGUUUUUCUUUAUGCAGCUAUGGCCACUACCCUGUCCCUCCAGUCAUUAUUAGAUAAUGACAAGCUCAGGGGAUCUAAUUUCGAUAGCUGGUAUCGAAAAUUAAAAAUUAUCCUUGAGCAUGAGUGGAUCCUUUAUGUAGUAACGGAUCUGGCACCUGAGG
rnacentral:lncRNA from 1 species